rnacentral:misc_RNA from 1 species
GGCUGGUCGUGUCGAUCGCAAAGAAGUAUCGCAAUCGCGGCCUGCCGUUCGCCGAUCUGAUUCAGGAAGGCAACCGCGGACUGCUUCGCGCCGUCGAUAAGUACGAAUACAAGCUCGAAUUCAAGUUCGGCACCUAUGCGACCUGGUGGAUUCGCCAGAGCAUUCAGCGAGCGCUGGCCGAUUUGGCGCGGACGGUUCGGGUGCCGUGCCAUCAGAUCGCGGUGCUGGGACAAACCGAGCGCGCGCGAGCGGAACUGCAAGCGCAAAUGGGCCGCGAGCCGACGAUCGAAGAGCUCGCGGGUCGAGUUGGUCUACCGGUUGAAGAAGUGCGAUCGUUACGGGCGGUCGGCAAGCAUCCGGUGAGUCUCCACGAGCCGGUCGGCGGCGACGGCGAGCGAGCGCUCGAGGAUUUCCUCCGCGACCGCGCCUCAUCGACUCCGGGCGAAAACGUCGAUCAGAACCUGCUCCGUGAGCGCAUCGGCGAAGUAUUGCGGUCGCUGGCGCAGCGCGAACGCGAAGUGAUUGAGUUGCGCUACGGUCUCAAGGACGGCCAGCCGAAGACGCUGGACGAAGUGGCAAGGCUAUUCGGCAUCACCCGCGAGCGCAUCCGGCAAAUCGAAGCCCGCGGCAUUCUGAAGCUGCGGCAGCCGAUGCGAAGCGUGCGGCUGGAGCAGUUCGCGGAAGUGGAGUGAAGUCGGGAAUAAUUCGUGAAGAAAUGGAUCAAGAGCCUGGGCGAAAGCCUGGGCUCAUUAUGUUUUUGGACUCAGGUUUGAGUCGCGCAAGAUUGUCCGGCACACUAGCUGCGGUAAAUGCAAAACUGCAAACAUGAGCAGCGGGGUUUCACGUGGCCAUU